rnacentral:rRNA from 1 species
UACGUAGGGUGCGAGCGUUAAUCGGAAUUACUGGGCGUAAAGCGUGUGCAGGCGGUUGUGCAAGACAGAUGUGAAAUCCCCGGGCUUAACCUGGGAACUGCAUUUGUGACUGCACGGCUAGAGUGUGUCAGAGGGGGGUAGAAUUCCACGUGUAGCAGUGAAAUGCGUAGAUAUGUGGAGGAAUACCGAUGGCGAAGGCAGCCCCCUGGGAUAACACUGACGCUCAUGCACGAAAGCGUGGGGAGCAAACAGG